rnacentral:rRNA from 1 species
AGUGAACGCUGGCGGUAGGCCUAACACAUGCAAGUCGAACGGCAGCACAGUAAGAGCUUGCUCUUACGGGUGGCGAGUGGCGGACGGGUGAGGAAUACAUCGGAAUCUACUUUUUCGUGGGGGAUAACGUAGGGAAACUUACGCUAAUACCGCAUACGACCUACGGGUGAAAGCAGGGGAUCUUCGGACCUUGCGCGAUUGAAUGAGCCGAUGUCGGAUUAGCUAGUUGGCGGGGUAAAGGCCCACCAAGGCGACGAUCCGUAGCUGGUCUGAGAGGAUGAUCAGCCACACUGGAACUGAGACACGGUCCAGACUCCUACGGGAGGCAGCAGUGGGGAAUAUUGGACAAUGGGCGCAAGCCUGAUCCAGCCAUACCGCGCGGGUGAAGAAGGCUUUCGGGUUGUAAAGCCCUUUUGUUGGGAAAGAAAAGCAGCAGGUUAAUACCCCGCUGUUCUGACGGUACCCAAAGAAUAAGCACCGGCUAACUUCGUG